ACGAACGCUGGCGGCGUGCCUAGUACAUGCAAGUAGAACGCUGAAGAGAGGAGCUUACUCUUCUUGGAUGAGUUGCGAACGGGUGAGUAACGCGUAGGUAACCUGCCUUGUAGCGGGGGAUAACUAUUGGAAACGAUAGCUAAUACCGCAUAACAAUGGAUGACACAUGUCAUUUAUUUGAAAGGGGCAAUUGCUCCACUACAAGAUGGACCUGCGUUGUAUUAGCUAGUAGGUGAGGUAAUGGCUCACCUAGGCGACGAUACAUAGCCGACCUGAGAGGGUGAUCGGCCACACUGGGACUGAGACACGGCCCAGACUCCUACGGGAGGCAGCAGUAGGGAAUCUUCGGCAAUGGGGGCAACCCUGACCGAGCAACGCCGCGUGAGUGAAGAAGGUUUUCGGAUCGUAAAGCCCGGUUGUAAGUCAAGAACGGGUGUGAGAGUGGAAAGUUCACACUGUGACGGUAGCUUACCAGAAAGGGACGGCUAACUACGUG
rnacentral:rRNA from 1 species